rfam:Purpureocillium lilacinum isolate PLFJ-1 scaffold00009, whole genome shotgun sequence.
GUCUUCGUGGCUCAGUUGGUUAGAGCGUUGGUCUCAUACAUCCAUAUGUGUGAUCAGAUUUACUCUGGGCCAUCCAAAGGUCGUGAGUUCGAGUCUCACCGAGGACA